rnacentral:rRNA from 1 species
GAGGAAAGAGGGAGGCGUGCCUAAUACAUGCAAGUCGAGCGAACGGACGAGAAGCUUGCUUCUCUGAUGUUAGCGGCGGACGGGUGAGUAACACGUGGAUAACCUACCUAUAAGACUGGGAUAACUUCGGGAAACCGGAGCUAAUACCGGAUAAUAUUUUGAACCGCAUGGUUCAAAAGUGAAAGACGGUCUUGCUGUCACUUAUAGAUGGAUCCGCGCUGCAUUAGCUAGUUGGUAAGGUAACGGCUUACCAAGGCAACGAUGCAUAGCCGACCUGAGAGGGUGAUCGGCCACACUGGAACUGAGACACGGUCCAGACUCCUACGGGAGGCAGCAGUAGGGAAUCUUCCGCAAUGGGCGAAAGCCUGACGGAGCAACGCCGCGUGAGUGAUGAGGGUCUUCGGAUCGUAAAACUCUGUUAUUAGGGAAGAACAUAUGUGUAAGUAACUGUGCACAUCUUGACGGUACCUAAUCAGAAAGCCACGGCUAACUACGUG